rnacentral:rRNA from 1 species
CGGACGGGUGAGUAAUGUCUGGGGAUCUGCCUGAUGGCGGGGGAUAACUACUGGAAACGGUAGCUAAUACCGCAUAAUGUCUACGGACCAAAGCGGGGGACCUCCGGGCCUCGCGCCAUCAGAUGAACCCAUAUGGGAUUAGCUAGUAGGUAAGGUAACGGCUUACCUAGGCGACGAUCCCUAGCUGGUCUGAGAGGAUGAUCAGCCACACUGGGACUGAGACACGGCCCAG